rnacentral:rRNA from 1 species
UCAGUAGCCGGUCUGAGAGGAUGAACGGCCACAUUGGAACUGAGACACGGUCCAGACUCCUACGGGAGGCAGCAGUGGGGAAUCUUCCGCAAUGGGCGAAAGCCUGACGGAGCAACGCCGCGUGAGUGAAGACGGCCUUCGGGUUGUAAAGCUCUGUUAUAGGGGACGAAGGCCGGGUAGCGAAGAGGUAGCCGGCAUGACGGUACCGUAAGAGAAAGCCACGGCUAACUACGUGCCAGCAGCCGCGGUAAUACGUAGGUGGCAAGCGUUGUCCGGAAUGAUUGGGCGUAAAGGGCGCGCAGGCGGCUGUGUAAGUCUGUCCAGAAAGUGCGGGGCUAAACCCCGUGAGAGGAUGGAAACUGGACAGCUGGAGUGUCGGAGAGGAAAGCGGA